rnacentral:lncRNA from 1 species
UGAAAAUUCUAGAAAGAAGUACAUUAACUGGUCUCCUGGGAUUUGAUUUUCUACCCUGUCAACAUAUUAGUCAAUACGUAUUAGUCAGUGGCCAGCUUAGACCAUUGUGGUGGAUAGUAUUACUAAAUUCACUUACAGUGAAUGACUGAGAGUAAAAAAUUCAUUCUCUUUUAUAGUCAGGCAUUUGAUAAUAGGCAUUUAAAGACAUCACUUUAAUUACUGAGGUGGUGGAUCAAGUCCAUUUUACCCCGACCCCUGCUAGUGUAACAUCUGUUAAAUUUAUCACCUCUCCCCCAAUAUGACUGUGCAGUGUUGAUUAACUAAGCAUGUGGUCCUUCCAAUUUGGUGACUCAAGAGAGCCCAUAUAUCACUUAGCACAUCAGAAAGCUUGUUCAAUUGCUUUUGCCUUCAUUUAUUACCCCACAGGACAGAAAUGACUAUUAGCUUUCCUGAUUAAAACACUGUGACCAUGCUUUAAGUUUAAUUGUAUACAUUGCUAGUUAAUAGCAAGCACUCCCCUUGGGCAUAAACUUUUAAAUCUCAUUUAGAUUGGCUCUGUAUUAUGAUAGGGGUUCCAGCUUGGGGAAAAAAGAACGGUCACCACAUCUUUGGUCUUUAGCCAUAUAUAAAGUAUUCCAGAAAUUUACUGAAAAAGCAAAUGCAGGUAAAUUUUAAAGAUACAAUCCCAAGUAAAUAAUUCUUAGAAAAUAUUUAAUUUAAAUUAAAAAUAGUAUGGUUUUGAAAACCAAUAUAUAAAUAAAACAGGUUUAUUUAUAUGGAACAUUUAGGCAACUUAAAACUGGAAUAAAUAAUCCUGGAAAAUACAUGUGAUCAAUUGCAAACAUUGUGAUCUUUGAAACUGUUGACUCCCCUCAAUGGAUAGAAAAAAGACAAUGAGUACAUACAAGUCUGGAGGAAA